rnacentral:rRNA from 1 species
AUGUCGCUCAGCUUGCACGUGGGAUUACAAAUGGCCAUAGGUUGCCCACUGCAACAGCCUUGUUGUUUUCUUGUAGCAAGGGACUACCAAAGAAGAAGAGAUGAUGCGGGUUCAGAAUCUGACAAUAUCUGUGUUAGUGCUGGCAGAUCCAAAGACAGAAAGAAACAGACAGUUUCACACACUAGCAACCGUAGGAUCAUUUUCAAAAAGCCUACCGUGAUGGAAAAAAUCAGAAUCCCAACAAAAGUGCUUUUCGAUGCUAUGAUGCAGCAGCUAGGUCUCCCAAAUGCAGUGUACUCAAUACAGAAGGCAAGAGCAAUUGGUCUUCAUACAACUAUUCACUUCUAUCCCUCCAAGUAUCAACUGGAUAACAAAUCUUCCAGGAUAGUCAAUAUCAAUCCAUGUAGCCAACAAACUAUAAGAUGUUGA